rnacentral:ncRNA from 1 species
CUAUGUUGGUGCCUGUGUAAACAGGUGAAAAGGGAAUGCACGCCGGUCCGCCGGUAACGCAGCCGCCCCCGCGACCGUGACCGGAGAGGGUGCUCAACGCCACUGACCAUAGGUCGGGAAGGCCGAGCGCCCGCCCAGAGGCAGCCGCCACUGGAUCAUCCGCAAGCCGGGAGACCUGCCAGCGACG